GACGAACGCUGGCGGCGUGCUUAACACAUGCAAGUCGAACGGAAAGGCCCUGCUUUUGUGGGGUGCUCGAGUGGCGAACGGGUGAGUAACACGUGAGUAACCUGCCCUUGACUUUGGGAUAACUUCAGGAAACUGGGGCUAAUACCGGAUAGGAGCUCCUGCUGCAUGGUGGGGGUUGGAAAGUUUCGGCGGUUGGGGAUGGACUCGCGGCUUAUCAGCUUGUUGGUGGGGUAGUGGCUUACCAAGGCUUUGACGGGUAGCCGGCCUGAGAGGGUGACCGGCCCCAUUGGGCCUGGGAUACGGCCCAGACUCCUACGGGAGGCAGCAGUGGGGAAUAUUGCACAAUGGGCGGAAGCCUGAUGCAGCAACGCCGCGUGCGGGAUGACGGCCUUCGGGUUGUAAACCGCUUUCGCCUGUGACGAAGCGUGAGUGACGGUAAUGGGUAAAGAAGCACCGGCUAACUACGUG
rnacentral:rRNA from 1 species